GGUGUUUCAGACUCUGGCUUGGGGUCGGGGGAGAGAGACAUAACUCAGGAUGAUAAAAAAUAUAUAUAUUUCACCCAGUGAAUGCCCUUAAGGCUUUCUUCACAGGGCAGUUAGCUAUUUGACAGCCUCCCAGAAGCAAGCCUACACUGUGACCUAUCCAGCUUUUCAAAACCCUCCUCCCAGUAUUUGUGCAUUGCCAACUAUAGGGUACUCUACAUCAGUAAUUCACAAUCUUUGGUCCUCCGGGUAAGCUGGCUGGAUUUUCCAGAAGUUGAAGUCCAAAACAACUAAAGGACCAAAGGUUGAGAACCACUGCUCUACAUGGAUAGUAAAGAUGUGCUUCUUCCAACAGGCCUUUCCCCAUUGACUCAGUUUAUAAAUUCUGCUUUGAAUGUUUUAGAUGUUUGAAAUGAUACUUAUCCUCAUUGUUUAUUUUAUGCUUUGGAUUUUAGCAUCUGCAUUUUUAUAUGUGUUGAAUUUUUUAUUCACAGUGAGAUAUUAAUAGACAUAGGAACCAGUAUACAAAUAGAUUAAAUAAUCAUAAUACUGAUAAUCCCUAUCUAGUGACAAUGCUGGGUGCAUCUGAUGGGAGAUGAAAUCCCAAACAUCUGGAAAAAAUAUUUCCCAUCCUGCUGCAAAAACUGUUUGAUAGACAUCAUGAAAAUUGCCAUAAUAAUACCUGCAGUGUCUUGGAGACAAACAUAUUCAUAAUCUCCAUUGAGCUCCGCAGGUGCCAAUGCCAAAAUUGCAAUGGUUUCUAUUUUUCUUAAUGAUGAAUCAGCAUAUUCCAUAAAAGUUCUUUUGUGGUUCUUGGUAAAACCUUAGUUAGAGACAGAGGGCCAAAAUCAAAACCAUAUGGAUGACAGUUAUAAAACUAUUAUGAUCCAUCAUUUAUGUGGUACCCUUAAAUGUAUGCUGUGCUUCUCCAAUAAAGAGUAAAACAUGCUCCUCCUAAUUCUGUGUUACAAUAUUAGACAAAUGCUUGUUUCAUGGACACACUGCAGAUAGAACAUUAGAAAAUGGUUUUGAACUUCAGAUAAAGGUAUAUUUAAGGAGGAAAACCAAAACUGGACUUCGUGUCUUGUUACCAUGUAUCAUACAACUUGUUUUCAGUAUCAUGUCUUGCCGUGAAUCUAAAGACAUUCUGCUGUUACUAUUAUUGUUGUCUUAUCUGCCUUCUUGCUGAUUCCUCCUCCUGAUGACCCAAUCUCAGGCUUUUCUUGAAAAUAUUUAUUCAGAGAUUUACCAUUGCCUGCCUCUAACAUAUCCUCCAACCUUUCACAGAUGACAGCUACCACACAACAUUACAAUGUCAUCAAGAUAACCAUUUGCUCUUAUCUGAGCCUACUGGAAAGAAGAUGGAAGGGGAAACUGCACUUAGAACAACUGAAGUAAGUUGAAGACAAACUGGGAGCAGCAAGGAGAAACUAGGACAUUACAAAAGCAGUUGAAGGAGUAGGACAUCUGAAGUCAGAAUUGUCCCUGCCACAUUGGGAGAACCGGAGGGUAUGUGCACUCCAAGCCUCAUCCCAAAAGGAAGAAGAGGUAGAUUCCGUCAGAGACUUUGGCACACAUGUAUUGGAUAUGGAAAUAAAAGAUAUGAAGAUGGAAUAAAUAUUUGAGACCCAGCCAGUGGUGUAGUCAUAAAUUUUGAACUGCAAAUACUUAUCAUGACAAGUCUGAAAGGCAGGCUCCAAAUGAGAAUCCAAAAAUGCAGCAGCUCUGUACAUUUCGACAUAUUGCUUCUCAUAGUCUUCUCUGCCUUCAAGAAUAGAACUUUUAUAAAGUUAACCAGUUAACUGCACAUUGAAACUGUGAUAAUUGUGGUACAUAUUUAACACUUCUUUUCCUUCCCAUAUCACAUUCAGAAUAUUUGCAUCUUUUCUGAACAAAAAUAUUGUCUGGUGUUUUGUAUUAUACUUUGAGUUGCCUUGUGUCCCAUAUUAAUUGAAAACAGGAUACAGAUUAAACAAAUGUGUCUUUAUUUGUUCCGUAGGAAUAUCAGAAUAUAUUCACACAAAGAGAGACCUACUAUGAGGACUGCAAGUAAAUUCAGGGGGGAGUGUAGAUGCUGCAGUUUUCCUUACUAAUAAAAGCUACCAGCACUGACUCUGGAAGACUAAGGUUUAGCUAUUGACUUUUGAAUAGUUACCUUCUAUUAGGCUUAGAAGAGGGCAAUGGUAAAUCCCUUCUGAAUAACUGCCUCACCACAUUGAGAAAUUUCCCAGCCGUAGGACACUUCAGACUCUUUUCAAGCAUGGAGAGGCACUGAGCUUAUUACAUGAGUUAAACUACUUCUGGCAGUUAUGCAUAGCCCUCCGUGGUUGAAAAAAGGCAGAAGUGUCCUGAAAGGAGGAAACUGGCAAUCAGCCUCAUCACAUUGAGAAAUUUCUCCCUUGUAGGAUACUUAAGCCUCUUUUCUAGUAUGGAGAGACACGGAGCUCAUCACAUGUUCCAGGGCUGAAAAGAGGCUGAAUUGUCCUGAAAGGAGGGAACUCUGAACAUGGGCCAGCAAUCGUGUUGAGAGCUCCAACCUCUUAUUACACUUUGCUCACAUCUUUACAACUGAAAAACAGGUGUAAUGGGAACCAUAAAAGUUUCCCAAUCUAUUUCAUUGCUCAGCCGUCAGCAAUCUCUUGUAUUCUAUGUGGUUCGAUGCAGAUUAAUAGGAUCCCAUGGAAAACAAUGGUUUUAACCUGGAUCACUACCUCUUGUGUCCUCUGGGGUUCGAUGUAGGUCAAUAGGAUUUCAUGGAAAGCAAUGGUUUUAACAUGGAUCACCAUCUCUUGUAUCCUAUUAACUUUGAUGCAGAACCAUAGGAUCCCAUGGAAAGAAAUGGUUUUAAACUGGUGUCAAUUUUUAAUGUAAGAGGGUUUGGACAGGGCAAGGGAUCUCUUGGUUUCUGGAUAUUGUUGUUUCUCCUGGUUGAAAACAAAAAGUAAUACUGAUCUUGUGAUGAAUGUAAAAUAAAUAUAUUGACAAUU